rnacentral:rRNA from 1 species
UACGUAGGUGGCGAGCGUUAUCCGGAUUUACUGGGUGUAAAGGGUGUGUAGGCGGGACUGCAAGUCAGAUGUGAAAAUCAUGGGCUCAACCCAUGACCUGCAUUUGAGACUGUGGUUCUUGAGGGUCGGAGAGGUAACCGGAAUUCCUGGUGUAGCGGUGAAAUGCGUAGAUAUCAGGAGGAACACCGGUGGCGAAGGCGGGCUACUGGACGAUUACUGACGCUGAGACACGAAAGCGUGGGGAGUAAAC